CUUUCGCGCGGCAUCGCCGCGGCGUGCCUCGGCUCAGCCCCUUUAACUUUAUUUCGGGCUUUUGCGGGUUCGGGGGUUUCGUGACCACACGUACCCCGGCGCUGUAACACGACCUCCGUGCUGUGCCACGAACAGGUAACAGAGCCGAGCACGGGGACCUGUUUAUUUCCCGCUGAAUGGAGCUACCGGCCAGCGGAGCGGGGACUCGAGUCCGUCUCCCGGUGAAAAUGGCCAAAAGACGCUCGAACAAGCGAAGGGACGGAGAGAUAAAAUAGAAAAUAUGUUAACGUAAGACAGAUAAAUGCCCGGCCGGACCAUUCCUCCUCUGCGAACACACGCGACCGUGAGCGCUCACAUCCCAGCCGGUCACAAAGCACGGCCGCGGGGACGCAGACCUGGGCACAACUCUGUAAGGCAUUAAUUGCCCCUCACCUCCUCACACACACUUUUUCAUGUUGCCACAUGCCCGCACACUUCUGCCGCAGAAAUAAUACAUGUGGCUAAAGCCGCAGGUGCGGAGAUGGUUGGAAAGUUGUAAAAAGCACCUCGACUUGAGGAGUGUCCUGCCUGGAAACCUGGUGUGUUCAGACCCCACGGCCGAAGAUGUUUUUGCGACUCAGUUUCAAAGACAAGGCUGCAGCGUUCCCAUUGAUCCUCACAGAGCAAAAAAAUAACCUUUACCCGAAACAGUGACCAGGAGGGACUGGGAAGACAGAAAGCGGGAAAGGAAUCUUUCCUGGUUAAAAUGUGGGGAACUGCCUUAUGAUUUCCAAACAACCCAGAGCUGAGGAGGUCACCUUUCGGGGAGGGUAGGGGAAGGUGGGGGUUCGAAAUGCAGAAUAGUCACAGAUGGUUGCUGAUGUUGAAUUUCCUGAGGAAAAAAAUAAAAACCAAAACCCAAACCACAACCCAACACCAACCUUUCCUGUCUCGAAUCUGACAAAGUAAACAGUAUUAAUUCACCAUAUGAAAAAACAUGCGAGCCGUCCUAAGAAAUGCAGAAAUCAGAAGAGAAAGCGGUUUUAACAGGACGCACCAUAUUAAUAGUUUGAAUGUAUGAGCGUAAAAAUGAAAAACCAUUGAUAUACGCUUAAAAGCCACCGUAUACGCUGAUUGCUCAAGCAUUAAUGAAGAAUGCCUGAGAUUAACUAUUUGCUCUUCGAGGGAUGCAGCGAUAUAACUAUCUAUUAGCACCAUUAGAUGCUUUGCUAUUUAUUUGAAAACACCCCUGCGAGUGGGUUGAGACAGAAGAGAUGAAUGUAAAAAUGAACUGCAGCUAAUUUCGCUAAAUAAUCCUCGAAACCUGAGCGCCUCGCAAGGAAGGGGGAGAUUCUCCGCUGUCCUUCUCCGAGGCUAAUGACAAUAGAAAUGCUCUGGUUUAAAAGUGAGACCGUGUUGGUUUUCCAAAUAAACAAACGCAUCCCUCCUGCCAUUUUACUGCAGAUGUAAAUUUAUUUUAAUGAGAGGGAGUGGAAGGAUUUAUUUUGCUAAAAUUGAGUUGAGGAUAGAGCCGGUGUAAAUCUUUAGGUUUCAAAAAGAGAGGAGGAAGGAGGGGGAAGCUGCUUUCCUGGCAGAAAGCUGCCUAACAGUCCUCUAAUUCUUUCUAGAUUAAAUCGCAAUAUGAAUACAGCAUCGAACAAAUACCGAGUUUCGCUCUGAACUCAGUGGAAAGCAGUUACGUCUAACAGAAUUCAAUGAAUUCCUCUUCUCCCUCAAUGUAGUAUGUGUGUGUUUUUCUCUUCCACCACACUGAAGUUCCAUGAAUAGGGAAAGUGGCUCCUAUUGUGUGCCUCUGAACUUCCAAGUCAAUGCAAUUUUUAACCACUGGCUUGUGGUACUUUGAAAAUCACCAGGGGCUGUCAGAGUUGGGUCCUCUGAAAAAUUUACAGUGCUAAAUCAGAGCAUAUGCUGUGAGAGAGGAAAAAAAAUUGCUUAAGAUUGGAGCAAGUACAGUAUCUGGCUGCCCCCUAGUGUAAGUCUCUUAUCUGCCUAAAAUUCAACUUUAAAAGAAAAGGAUCUCUUAAAGGGAAACGACUUUUGGCUCACGUAUGCAUACGAGAAUGAAACUUCUGUACAUUUUAAUCUGAUUAAUUCCUAAGGAUUUAAAAUUAAUUGGCUUGGGCACUCCUAGACCGGACUAUAAGAUUUCUGCAGCAGGGUUUCUGCGAGAGCUGUGCCGAAUAGAGCAAAACACUUCUGCUACUUAAAGUCAGAUCUACGUCCUUUACAAUAAUACUUAAAAAAAGAGGAUAAAUAAUUGCCUUAAAGCCUCAGCGGAACUGCCAACCACACCUUCGGAUGUUAGAAGGCAGAAAUAUGUGAACUGCGGAGAGAGGCGGGUACUUUUUGGAAUUUGGAAGAUGCCCAUGUCUAAGACAAUGGUGAGAAUUGGGCCAAAAUCCAGAUCCAGCCUUGAUUCCUUCAUCCAAGUAAGCCUGUGUUGACCCACGACUGCUGAUGGAUCGCAGGGAUGUGGAACCUCCUCUCUCCUUGCUGCCCUGCAUCAGAUCACCAGGAGGACCUGAGAGUACUGGAUGAACCAUCACAAGACCGUGAUUGAAAAGCGUGGGGACCAAGCACUCAGGGAGGUGGCUGAUGAAGCUGAUUCCCUGGCCCCGGGCUGUGGGUCAGCUCUUGGACAUGACACAGGCCCCCAGAGGCCAGAGAAACAUUGUGGGGACUGUUUCUGUCUUGGCUACUCCUCAUCAGUGCUUCGAGAACCGAGGCAACACGAGCACACCACCAGGGAUUUGCUCCUUUCAUGGUCUACACCUGAAGCACAGCACAAAGUUCCAUCCUUUUCUUCUGCAGGUAGGAGCUCAAUCUAAUUUACAUAUUUAGUUUUAGUUAGAGACGAGGCAUUAGUCCUAAAAUAACUCAUGCAAAUGGUCACCUCUUCUAGAACUGAUGUUGUUUCAUCAUUUUCUCUCCAUUUUCUGGAUGAAGCAGCCAGCGCGAGAAGGGCAUGUUGGCACAUACUCCACUUGAUAGCUGAAGAGAACAAACUGACAAAUAUUUUUAAUAUGCUACAGCUUAUCAACAUCCCAGUGAAUAAAGGGCAAAUGAGAUUUUCCACUGGUUAUUCAUAGAUCCACACGGAGAUGCUGACAAACUGCCAUUUAGUGCAGACACGGGGCAGAAAUAAAUCACCAGAUAAAAUACAAUAUUCCUAGAGAAAUCUUUUGUGGAAUGUGUUCUUGCCCCAGACCCCUCCUGGAACAGGCACAGUAAUGCUCCCUGAGACCUGGCAGCCCUUCUGAGUGAGCAUAUGGUCUGCUCAGCUCUCGCAGUACUGGUGCACGGUGAGUAAACACGCUGUACUGUCAGAGAAAACAGGGGGCUCUUUAAUAGCACGAAAUUCUGUGCCUGCUUCAAACUCCAUCACUGCUCCAGAAAUGGAUUUUCCUUCUCUGCUGGAGCGUGCACUGUUUGCAGGAGGGGCAGGAAAAAAAGAGAGAGAGUCUCCUCUGAUGGUCUGUAACCAUCUCCCAUAAAGUUGGUAAUGCUGGGGAAGGGUCUUGAUGUGUCAGAAUUUGCAUUUUCUGGUGAUGCUACAUCACCUUCUCCAUUCUUUUGAGAUGUCCCCUGGUGCAUUGUAACUUGCUCAGUAAUUGGAAUAGAAAGAGGGACCCGAAGGUAAAAAUCCCGAUGUUAAUCAAGGCUGGCAAAGGGCAGAACAUUAGCUGCAGUAAUUGUUUUUCUGAGGGAGUCAAGAAAGCCGGGCUCGUCUGCACUAGCAAACAGAUCUGGUCCUGCCUCUGUGCUCCUCACACUGGCAGAACAUUGCCCUGAAAUCACUGGAGCAGGGAUCGGGCCAGGAAUGAGCAGCUAAGUUGCAAAGCAAAUUAAUUCCUGCCAAAAAAGUUCAGCUAUGCUCAGAAGUAUGUAAAGUGUCUGAUUUGAGAAGUGUCAAGUAGCAUUUGUGACCAAUUAUCCAAGAUGAAGGGGGCAGAGCUAUGUUUACAUGUACUAAUCUUCAGCCAAAGUUUGAAAACUCUAAUUCAUGGACACGCAUCAAAUUUCCUUUCCAGGCUUGGCAUUUGCCUGUACGCACGCAUGCACAUUGCUCGGGGAUGACAAGAAAACAUGAUUACAACUUGCAAAUAAUACAAAUUAAAAAAAAAAAAAAAAAGAAAAAGAAAAAAGAAAACAAGAGGAGCUGCCAUGCAGUAGCAGCGUGGUAAUUAAACCUAUACUGUGAUAUGCAAAAAAGAAUCAUGGACCACUGUAUGAGUAAAAUAGAUUUAUCAGCUGUGCUGAAAUAUGAUGUGUGAUGUGUCUGUAUUGUUAUUUUUCCACAACCUGUGAAACCUUGGGAAACGAUCUACACAAAGGAACGAGGAGUAAAAGCUGCCUCGGCCAUCUUCUGUUUAAUUAACAUAGGUAUACCAAUUUAAUGCAAUUAAUCAAGAUAGGAGGGAUUAAACAGUAACUCAGCUGACAACGACAGUGUUAGCUUUGCUGUGGCAUAAGAAGGGCUGCAAAAUGAGAGUGGUGACUGGAACACUGUGAGGGUGAACAAGCUGGCUGCAGUUUUGGGAGGUUUAUGCAGAUGUACUGAAAUUGAAGGGCAGCUGAUUUUUCAUGUGGCCAAGUGUUUAUCUGCCCCUGCCCUUUCCUUUACCCUCUCAGACCUUCCAGGGUAAUCCCCAGAGUGGCAACAACUUUUAAAGUGAUUCCUCUUUCUUCUAACAGAUUCCUGAUGCUAAAGGUCUGACCUUAAAAUGAGCAGUGCAUAGGGCAAGAGUGGGUACUGCAGUGAGCUUCUGGCCUUCAACCCUUCCAAAUACAGCUAUUUUGGUAUAUUCAUGAUGGGUGAGGGAACAGAGCCUUCCAGUGCAGGGCUUCUCAGCACAUUAACUCUAUCAGUGCUGGAUUCUGGGUCCCUAUGCAAGUUGCCCAUGUCUGUUUAAGACCAUAAAUGCAAGUUUAUAGAAGUCUGCAGCAUUCUGUAACUUCAUGGUUGUGCUUUAGUGCCUGAUGCAUCUGAAAACUGGACUGAGUCCUGUGGAUAUCCGUGUGGAUCUGGGAAGGACUGCUGUCAUAUGCGGCUGAGAGUAGUUCAGACUGGGAUUUCUUGUUGGCAGGAGAGGCACAGCCUGGUUUGCUACAAUGCAACUGUCCUCAUUAAUGUUCUUCAAGCUCUGCUGUACCAGGACCGCCAUGGUUGGGUCAGAAGAUGGCUGAGUUUUCGAGGCUCAUUCUCUUGUCUUCAGAAUGUUAAAUUGGGUGAUAAUGAGUAGUAACUGUGUCCUUUUUUUAUGGUGAAGUUGACACUUGCCUUCUAGUAAACAGACACAGAGAUGACCCUCCUCAUUUCGCACAGGUCACCAAACAGCCCCGGAAUGGUAGGGGUUAUUGGCCAUUUACCAAACUCUGUUUGACUUGGGUUCAUGGGUGAGAGAUGAAAGGCUCUAUAUUGCAUUACCAAUCCCUGGGGCCAGCCAGUCUCCCUAAAGAAGCAUUUCAUUUAGCAAGGCAACUGCUGGCCCAUGGGAAUUGGAGACUUGGGAAAAAGAGGACACAGUUUCAAUUGCAAAUCUUUCCUUAGGGCAGAUGUCUUAAAGCCACACAGAAACUCGCUGCUUCAGUGUCACAGUAGUUGCUCCAGGACACUUAAGGGACAGCAGAUUUUCCCCUUUAAUUAAUCUCCCCUUUUUCCCAAGAAAGCAUCCACUAGGUCACUCGUGGUGUUUCUGCCUCUGCCCCUCUGUUUUGUUCGUCCCCUUGGGGCAAGACCAUUGCAGCCGUUGUGAAACGUUACCUUUUCCAAGAGCUUCAAAAUUGAAACAGAUGAAGCAAGUAGCCUGGUAUCACACUUAGAGGUGCUGGACUCUUUGGAGGAGAAAUGAGUACUCCUGAAGUAUCCAAAUAUUUUCCUUCCCCUAGAGCAAAGAUGCUGACUGAUUUUCUUUGUUAUGGUAGGGUGGUCAUUGCUAUUGGGGUAGUCCAAGUGCUUUCUUUUUACAGAUUAUGGAUGCAGUGAAUUAUGGCUACAGUAAGAAGAAUACAGACCAAGAAUUUGACCCAGACUUGUCCUGAAUUUCCUAUGAUCUGAAAAUCCAAUGUUGUUCCAAAUUCAUUAUCACUGAUUAAAAUCCUCUUUCAGUUCCCUCCCUUACUGUUUGUGAUGUGAGUCAUGAGACAUUCAGAAGUUGCAUUUGUUGUUUAAUAGUUUUACAUCAUGGUUGCAAUAGUGCAUCUGCCAAGCCAGCAGUUUUUUGGUUGGUUCCCCCCCCCCCCCCCGUGUUUGUUUAUUUAUUUACCGCUCCAUUUCCAGCAAGUUCUUGUUACCCAGUUCCCGCUGACAACAGAGGAAGAGGCACAAGUGAGCUCAGAAAAUAAACGACUAGAAGGUAAGUGAAAAGAAUAGUAAAUGCAGGCCAUUCAUGUAACAGGAUCCAAUUCAUUUUUAUGCCAGGGAGAUUUUUUAAAUGGGACUUCUCCCAGUGGAGAGCUCACAAUGCUCAAGGCCUGCUUCACUAUAAAGAAAAUGCAUAAUUAUUCUGGGCUUAUUAUUAUUUUUUAUCACUCCUUUUCCAGUUGCAGGGAGUGAGGGCAGAGAUGAGAUCAGGACUCAGUUUUUUGCUGUGCAGGCUGUGCAGAGCACGAGGCUCCAGGACCCUGUGGAGGCAGGUAAAUGCAUCCAGGCUGAGGGUUCAGGUGAUAGGUCUGAGAUGGGAGAAUCCAUCAGCAGCAAAAAUGGGGACUCAGCCUCCUGAGGCCUUCAGUUCUGAGCUCCUGCUGCUUGAUGCUUUCAGCAUCUUUUUUUUUCACACUUUUUUGAAUCACCGAAACGAUGAAUUGAAAAAAUGCCAUGUCAUUUGAAGUAUUCUUCAUUGUAUUUACAGGAAACAGAUUAUCUCUUCUCUCAGGAUAGUGGAAACUGAGUAUGAUGAACUCAUCUGGAGAAAAUGUAGGUUGGGUGUGACAGAGAAACUCGUGUUUUAUAUGGCAGUGACAUCUUAAUUUUUGGUUUUGGUAUGACAGACUCAGUGAUACUGAACAAUCCUGGUUCCUGCUUUCAGGCUGGGGUCACAAGCUGGAUUUGGAGGAAGAAACUUCCAUGCAGAGAUGUGACUGCAGUGUGAAUAAUAUGCCAAGGUGCUCCUCAGCUCUGCCUUGAGGUGACACCGUUAAGCAAGAGAUAAAACAAAUGGCCAGUUUUAGCCUAAUCAUCACUUCUGCCUGAGAAAAGAGAAACUCUUUGAGGUAAGUUCCCCUGGAUAUAAUUCUUUCUUUCUAGGUUAAAGAAGGGCUGAAGCUAAUACAUAUCCUGAGUCAUAAUGUGGAUUUGCGCCUUUCCUGUUAAAUAUAGCUGGUUUAUGUCCAAAGGAUCCCUUCUCUCCCUAAUGCUCACUCAUAUUGUUACAACUUCUGCAUUAGUUGCAGGUGUGAAAUGCCAACUGAUCCACACUUCUCAUGCUGUCAGCAGGAAAGUAAUGUGUGUCAAAGGCCUGGUUCUCAGAGGGGAGGUCACCUGGAUCUCCCCUUGCACAUCUGCUUUGCUAAACACAAAACUCUGGGGGUUUGAAAAGCUCCAAUGUGCACAAAAUGGGAUGUGAUCACUGGGGGCCAUACAGAAGGAACUGCUUGUGCCUGUUAUUUAGUAGUCAGGACACAAAAUUUCCCCUCUGUACAAAAUUCUUCCUGGAUUACCACAGGUGACAUAUUACUUGGAAGCUCUAUGUUAAUAAGGAGAAAAAUUACACUUUGCAUUCCAUGAGAGACAGGAUUCCAAGAGUUAAAAAAAAGGCCCUCACACAUUAAGCAGCUUCAGAAAGAUGCUAAUAUUCAGCAUGUCCCUACUUGGAGUGUGCAGACACGAAGAUCAGGAAAGUGCCUGAUCAGAGCUCCUGGAGGGGCCGUGCUGCUGGAGCCUGCCUUACACAGUGGCAUCCUGGUUUGGUUCUGAGGGCUUCCAGAGGAGCUUUCAAACAUUUCUAUUUCCUGCUUUUAGUGGAUUUUUUUCAUACCUUGGAAUAAGUCUUCCGAUGGUAAUGUGUUUGCAGAUGAUGCCUAGAUAAUAGUUCUUGCUCAGGGGACCUCUAAUACACAAUAUUUUAUGCUUUCUACAUUUUAUGUGAGAUCAAAGACGCAUCCUACAUGUACAAAUUUGCCUAAUUCUUUCUUGAUUCCUGCUAGAAUCUAGACUAUCCCUCAGUAUCUGCCAUAAGGAUGUCCACAAGUAACCUAUACAGAAUAUUUUUGGUCUUAAUAUAUUUGGCCUUUUAAUGUCAUGUGUUUAUGACAUCAUGAUUCUGGUUACUCUGCACUAAUAGGACAUUUUAAACAUAUGCAUCCAAGCAUCAUUCACCACUAUGAACUGUAUUUUUCCUCUCUCAGUUGACUAUUUCCAAAUUUUUGGGGGGAUAGUGGAACCAAUAUUGACCUUUUUAUCCAAAAUGAGAAAAUAGGGACUUGGUCACUGGCUGUAUGCUGAUGUUGCAUGGAUGUCACAUCAUGUUACAUGGAAUUUGGACCUUGUAUUGAUGCACUGGGAAGGCUGGCCUGGAGCACGGACCGGACAGAGCUAAGAGAAUAAUGUAGAUAUUUAUUGAAAGACCUUUAAGGGUACACCUUAGGCAGGACAAGAGCCUGGCCAGGGCUACACCAAAAUGGUUGCAAAAUGGAUGCCCAGUCACGAGAUCUCACACUUUUAUAAGCUUUGGUCCUUUUGCAUAUUGUUAAUUGUCCAGUUACAGCUUCAGUUACAGCUCCAUCCUUCUUGUUUUCUCUUUUCAGCCCACCAUUGUUUAUGCUUUUGGUCCUGAAAACUUGUAACCGUUGUCCUUGGUCUUCAGCAGGAAAAGGAUUUGUUUUGUCUCCCUACUCUGUGAAGAGAGUUUACUAACACUUAACACGAGGCUCAAAACUACAUCCCUAGGCAGCACAGAAUCUGAAAUAUAUGAAAGCUAAGACUUAGGCAUCAGUAUCCUCACAGUAACUUAGACAGAAUUAAAGCAAAAUGAUUUCUAAAGCCCAAAGCAUACUGGGGAGAACGAUGAGCUGAACACAUAGGUCAGAGCAGGUUUCAUGAGCACCUGAGAUUCCAGCCCUGAGCCUCUGCUGCUCACGAUGGACAUCCCCUUAAAGAAGCUGUAAAAAUAAUUUUCAUGAGAAUCAGAAGAGAUUCACUUUUAAUUUUGAGGAAGGAGAGAAUUUUAAAGAAAAGUUUGAUUCUGGAAAAGACUGUUAGUAAGUUGGAGGAGCUGUGCUGUAGAAGACAGUGGCUGUUUGGCUCUUCAUGGAAGCCUCUGUUGAAUUCAGAGGUGGCCUUUCCCCUGAAAUUUACACCAGAAAUUCAGAAAUUUUAUCUUUGAUCAGAACAGCAUCACUGCCUUCCUGAGUAAUAGGAAUGACAUUGGUUUCCCUGGGUUGUACAUUAUGGACAUGAUAGACCCAUGAAAAGAAAUGGAGACAGGGGUACUGAUUUUCUUGGAAUGAAAUAUAGAAAAUUUGGGCUUGGAAAACAUUUGAGUAUAAUAUGCUGAAAGUUUAAAGAAACGUUUUUAAAGAAACAUUUUCCAAGAGCAUGCCUUUUAGUUUUAUCUUCAUUUUUUGCCAUGUAUAAUUAUGAGAAACACAGACAACUCAUAAGAUUUUUUAGUUUCUGUUGAGAAUUGCCUUUUCCAAGAUAAUUCUGUACACUAUUACUUUAGCCCACUGGGUAUCAUGUAGGGAAGGUGUAAGAUUAUGCACAUGAAUAUUUCUGUCUACCACUUAUGAGUGCUGAGACAAUAUCAACUUAUACUUUCUCCUGUCAUUGGUCCUUAUUCCAUAGAGGAUAUUCUUAAUUACCAGCAAGACAAUUUGGUAAUAUCAUGUAAAGUGUAACAGCAUAAUUUCUGUGAUGAUUUACACCUGCUAAGGAUCUGAACACUGAAUUUUGAAACAUAUUGUAAGUUCAGAAGAAAGAGUAUUUUUUAUACAAGACAAUACUUCUAUUUUUAAUAGAAAUACUCUCAUUUAUUUAAUUUAUUGGCACAGAUCUUCUAAAUGAAAUGGAGCUUUUGAAUAUGAAGACACCAUUUUUACACAUUUUCACUGCCCUUAAAAAUUUAGAGCACACUUCUGUCUGUUUAAAUGGAUUAAAUCAACUUGCGUCUAAAUGCCUAAACACUAUUUUUGACAACUGUGCAUGAGGGACGUGCCUGUACAGGGAUUCUAAAGAAUAAAAAACCUAAAAAUAUCUCAGUUGCAAGGAAAAUUCCCUGUAUUCCUUCGUACACUUCGUAAUAAUGGUUAUAUAUAUAUAUCUUUUUUAACCCUCACAGGUUUAUCCUUAAUUCUGUUGAAAAUUAUUGAAAUUAUUCCGUUGACUUUAAUAAACUCUGUUUCCUACUGGAUUAAAGGUGAUAUUUGUGCCUCAGAUUUGCUGGUGAUAUCCCACUAAUGAAACAGGUAAUUUUAUAAAUAUGUCAGGGAGGGUAAGUGCCCAAUAAAAAGAUGUCAGAUAGAGAUCCACAAAUUACAGUCUAUUUGUAAUUGAAAUAA